CCUACGGGAGGCAGCAGUGAGGAAUAUUGGUCAAUGGGCGUAAGCCUGAACCAGCGAAGCCGCGUGAGGGAUGAAGGUUCUAUGGAUCGUAAACCUCGUUUACAAGGGAAUAAAGUGUGGGACGUGUCCUAUUGUGUAUGUACCGUAGGAAUAAGGAUAGGCUAAGUCCGUGCCAGCAGCCGCGGUAAUACGGAGGAUACGAGCGUUAUCCGGAUUUAUGGGGUUUAAAGGGUGCGUAGGUGGCCUUUUAAGUCAGCGGUGAAAGUCUGUGGCUCAACCAUAGAAUUGCCGUUGAAACUGGGGGGCUUGAGUAUGUUUGAGGCAGGCGGAAUUCGUGGUGUAGCGGUGAAAUGCUUAGAUAUCACGCAGAACCCCGAUUGCGAAGGCAGCCUGCCAAGCCAUGACUGACGCUGAUGCACGAAAGCGUGGGGAUCAAACAGGAUUAGAUACCCUUGUAGUC
rnacentral:rRNA from 1 species